CAUCCAGACGCCUGGCCAGGAUCCUUGAUAAGACCGUGACCCCCAACUUAGACACCCCAUAAGGCUGGAGUGCAGUGGCACAAUCUUGGCUCACUGCAACCUCCGACUUCCGGGUUCAAGCAAUUCUCCUGUAUCAGCCUCCCAAGUAGCUGGGACUACAGAGACAGGGUUUCGCCAUGUUGGCCAGGCUGGUCCCCAACUCCUGACCUCAAGUGAUCCACCCGCCUCGGCUUCCCAAAGUGCUGGGAUUACAGGCGUGAGCCAUCGCACCUGGCCUGAGUUUGCAUUUCUAAGUUCCCAGAUGAUGUGACAGCUACUGGUUUCCAGCCACACCUUGAGAACACUUGGCUUUCACUAUCACUUCUUAAACUUAAAGGAAAACUAGACAAUCCACCAGCCCAGGAGGGGACAAGCAGGCUUAAUCCCCCUCCUCGUCAUCUCUGGCUCCAGCCCCACCCUGGCCCUUCCUGGCAUUCUUCCUCUUCACGUGGCUGGGGUGGCCACCCCAAUAGGGAGGCAGAGGGAGAAGUCCAUGUGCUUCUGGGAAUCCAGGCGGACAGUGAAGAACAGGAUAUUUACCACCUGCUCACGGAUAUGAUACUGUUGGAUCAGCACACGAGCGUGGCGGAUGGACUUAAGCCAAGC
rnacentral:antisense_RNA from 1 species